GGGCGAAUGGUUUAGUGGUAUAAUACUCCCUUAGCAUGUUCGUACAUCUGUGAGUGGUCCAGGGUUCGAUUCCCUGUUCGUCCA
rnacentral:tRNA from 1 species